rnacentral:rRNA from 4 species
AAACUUGCCCCGAGAUGAGUUCUCCCUGAGACUUAGAGUCUCCUGAAGGAACGUUGAAGACGACGACGUUGAUAGGCCGGGUGUGUAAGCGCAGCGAUGCGUUGAGCUAACCGGUACUAAUGAACCGUGAGGCUUAACCUUACAACGCCGAAG